rnacentral:rRNA from 1 species
CGGCAUGGGGGCGCCUUAUACAUGCGAGUCGAGCGGACAGAUGGGAGCUUGCUCUCUUGAUGUUAGCGGCGGACGGGUGAGUAACACGUGGGUAACCUGCCUGUAAGACUGGGAUAACUCCGGGAAACCGGCGCUAAUACCGGAUGCUUGUUUGAACCGCAUGUUCAAGCAUAAAAAGGGGGGCUUCGGCUACCACUUACAGAAGGGACCCGCGGCCCCAUUAGCUAGGUUUGGUGAGGUAUGGGCUCCCCAGCCGACCAAUGCGUCUCCGAACCUGAAAAGGGGGGCCGGCCCCUAUUGGGCCUGAGCCCCGGCCCCAAACUUCAUUCGGGAGGGGGGAGUAGGGAAAUUUUCCCCAAGGGAGAAAGGCUGACGGAGAAACGCCGCCGGGAUUAUGGAGGUUUUUGACCCGAAAAGCUUUUUUUGUAGGGGAAAAACAAGUACCGGUCGAAUUGGGGCGGUCCCUUUGACGGGACCUACCAAAAAGGCAGGGGUUAAUUACGGGCAACCACCGGGGAAUUCCUUGGGUGGCAUCCUUGUUCGGAAUUUAUUGGCCGCAAAGGGCUCGCCGGCGGUUUUUUAAGUUUGAAUGUGAAACCCCCCGCCUCACCCGGGAGGGGCAUUGGAAACUUGGGAACUUGAGUCCGAAGGAGGAGAUGGCACUUCCACGUGUAGCCGUGAAAAUGCGGAGAGAUGUGGAAGCAACCCCAGUGCUGAGACAAGGUGGCCCUCUCGGGCUGUUACUGACGCUGAGGAACGAAAAGCGGCGGGAGCGGAGCAGGAUUAGAUACCCUGGUAGUCCACGCCGGAAACGAUGAGUGCUAAGUGUUAGGGCGGUUUCCGACCCUUAGUGCUGCAACUAACGCAUUAAGCACUCCGCCUCGCGAGUACGGUCGCAAGACUGAAACUCAAAGAAAUUGACGCGGGCCCGCACAAGCGGUGGAGCAUGUGGUUUAAUUCGAAGCAACGCGAAGAACCUUACCAGGUCUUGACAUCCUCUGACAAUCCUAGAGAUAGGACGUCGCCUUCGGGGGCAGAGUGACAGGUGGUGCAUGGUUGUCGUCAGCUCGUGUCGUGAGAUGUUGGGUUAAGUCCCGCAACGAGCGCAACCCUUGAUCUUAGUUGCCAGCAUUCAGUUGGGCACUCUAAGGUGACUGCCGGUGACAAACCGGAGGAAGGUGGGGAUGACGUCAAAUCAUCAUGCCCCUUAUGACCUGGGCUACACACGUGCUACAAUGGACAGAACAAAGGGCAGCGAAACCGCGAGGUUAAGCCAAUCCCACAAAUCUGUUCUCAGUUCGGAUCGCAGUCUGCAACUCGCUGCGUGAAGCUGGAAUCGCUAGUAAUCGCGGAUCAGCAUGCCGCGGUGAAUACGUUCCCGGGCCUUGUACACACCGCCCGUCACACCACGAGAGUUUGUAACCCCGAAGUCGGUGAGGUACCUUUUAGGACCAGCCGCGAAGGUGACAGAUGGG